rnacentral:rRNA from 1 species
CGCUGGCGGCACGCCUAACACAUGCAAGUCGAACGAAGUAGCAAUACUUAGUGGCAGACGGGUGAGUAACAUGUAGGUAUCUACCCUUUGGCCUGGAAUAACACGAGGAAACUUGUGCUAAUACCGGAUAAGUCUUUACAGAGAAAGCUUUAUGCACCAUUGGAUGAGCCUGCACUUGAUUAGUUUGUUGGUAGGGUAAUGGCCUACCAAGACUUUGAUCAAUAGCUGAUUUGAGAGGAUGAUCAGCCACAUUGGGACUGAGACACGGCCCAAACUCCUACGGGAGGCAGCAGUGGGGAAUCUUGCACAAUGGAGGAAACUCUGAUGCAGCGAUGCCGCGUGAGUGAAGAAGGCCUUUGGGUUGUAAAGCUCUUUCGUCGGGGAAGAAAAUGACUGUACCCGAAUAAGAAGGUCCGGCUAACUUCGUGCCAGCAGCCGCGGUAAUACGAAGGGACCUAGCGUAGUUCGGAAUUACUGGGCUUAAAGAGUUCGUAGGUGGUUGAAAAAGUUGGUGGUGAAAUCCCAGAGCUUAACUCUGGAACUGCCAUCAAAACUUUUCAGCUAGAGUUUGAUAGAGGAAAGCAGAAUUUCUAGUGUAGAGGUGAAAUUCGUAGAUAUUAGAAAGAAUACCAAUUGCGAAGGCAGCUUUCUGGAUCAUUACUGACACUGAGGAACGAAAGCAUGGGUAGCGAAGAGGAUUAGAUACCCUCGUAGUCCAUGCCGUAAACGAUGUGUGUUAGACGUUGGAAAUUUAUUUUCAGUGUCGCAGCGAAAGCGAUAAACACACCGCCUGGGGAGUACG